GCCAGACUGACUGCUGGGAAGGCAUGAUCCAAAACCAAACCUCAGAUACAUUCACCCCCGGUUGGAUUCUGUUUUUUUACAUUGUUUUCUUUAUUCUUCUCCUUGGCUGACUUUUCUUAUGUAAAAUGAAUGCAGUGCUCACACGUGAGCAUCACAGCUGAAUAAAUACGUUCCUGUUCUUGCCUGAGCCCAGAUGUAUUGUGUGUCUCUUUGCUUGCUGGAAAACAGGGUGUGUGAGGUGCCCUUAGCUGAAAGUUCAACUCAUGGGUGCAGCACAACUGCUCCUUGGGACAGCUGCUCUGUGGUUCUCAGCAGCGCCGUCUCUCUUGUCACUUUUCAUCCUAACACAGACCUUUACCUCCCAUGCCUGCCCCCAUCCCCCUCCAGGAUGGGCCCUGAGGAACGAACACUUGAGUUGAUUAUUCACCUGUUCUCCCCAGCUGUGGUACCUGUAACAUGUCCCACAGACCAGAUGCUGCCUUAUAUUGUUUUACUCCCUAAAAGCCCUUUCGGAUUCAGUCCAUAUGUCUGAGGCUGGAUAGGAUGAAGCGUGAGUCUGGUCUACCAUAGACGUGUCAUAUGGGACUGGAGCAAACACGGGGAGCAAAACCACUGUGGGGUCAGUCUGUACGUUAGAUAUUAGCGUCUCUCUGAUUCCUGCCUUCCAUCGUCAGUGAGUGGUGACGGAAAACCCUGCGGCUAUAUUUAAAAACAGCCAUAAUGAGCAAUUUCCUUUAACCCCUUGUCGUCAUCCCAGAAUGCCCCCAUGUGGGCAGGUGUGGUGUUGCAGGCGAGCCCUUACUUUGUUUUCCCCUCACCCAGGGUAGUGGCAAGUCCAAACAGCCUGUUAAAUGCUAAAGAGCACCCCCUAGUGGAGGGUCAUUUAUUAACAGAAAAGCCCAUCAAAAAAACAUUCACCCCAGCAUCCUGGCGGGUGACGUGUUCAUCUUAGUCCAUGUCCCCCAGCUGAGUCCCAUAUUCCCCUCUACCCAGGCUCUUCCCCUGGGGUUCCCUUGGUGCCAGUCUCUGCCCUGAGGUUGUGCCUCUGGCCCCUGCUGGAGUAACAUCCUUCUCUGGAGCCUGUGGGGUCGGGGAAGUCCCUCCACUGUGACCUUUCUCCAGGGAAAGCAGGUAAUCCAUGUGAGGCCGGGCUUCCAGCCUGUGUCUGGGUGACCACUGGCUGAGACCAGGUCCUUUUGGGUGCCUGCAGACUGCCGUCCUCUAUCUAGGAGUUGCCCAUCUCCAGGAGCUCCUCUUAGAGCAGUGGUUCCCAAACUGGGGUUCGUGAACCCCUGGGGGUUUGCAAAGUGUUAUAGGGGGUUCUUGGGAAAAAAUUCACUAAUGGCGGACAGAGCUGUCCCUAGGGACCCCGGGUAGCACGGGGCCCGCAGCCUGGAGCCCCUGGAUUUUCAAGAGCUAAGCAGAUCAAAGCAAGCACAUCUAUCACACUGAGGAGAUUUAAACUUCAAGACUCCUUAGAAGAAAUGUAAAGGGAAGUGGAUAUUUUUUGCUGUUUUGAAAAUAAAUAGGCAGCUAGUAUUGUUUUGAAAAUUAUG
ensembl:lncRNA